GCGUUGCAGUUUUGCAACAAUACUUUAGGAGUAAUCAAGUACUGUAUUAUUUAAUAUUUUGUUUCGUUUUCAACUUAUUUUACUCCGGAUAGCACUUUUUAUUACAUUUUAUACCGGAACUCUUUUGAAAAGAAGAUUUUUCUUUUUCAAAUCGGACAUUUUUAGAGGCGAUCUACACUUUUCUGCUUUUUGCUAAAUGGCUUUCACAUAUUCAUAACCAUGGAUCCAAGAGUCUAAUUUGAAAGUCUUCUACCAGUUUAUUCUGAGCUACUCCUUUUGGCUCAAAAGAUAGUGAGUUGUCCAAUGAUGAAAUAGAGAACGUAAACAGUACCCGGGUCCUAUCGGAUGUUGGUGAUGAAGAUUUAUCUGACAUAGUUGAAGAGUAUGCCCAUUUGCGAAAAAUGAUGAAACUCCUCAGGACCUUCUCAAUUGUCUACACCAAGGUAUUCAUUAGCAACAACAGAAUGAUCAGUCCCAGUAUACAGCAAAUGUUCCACCAUUUCCUGAUCCUAGGAGAGAAGCCAAACAUCAGAGGCGGCCAUUGGAUUAUUUCAACGACAUCUUUACAGAUAAUCUGUGUUCGGACAGUUGUGUAUCAAUCCAACCUGUACUGUCUUCUAACAUGACAUCAACAGUCCUUUAGCACUGGAUAAAGAUUAUUCCUGGAAAUUAGAUUUUACAUAAACAUUGUAAAAAAUUCCUAAAUGCUGAGUGUAUUGGAGCCUUGCCACCAAGUUUGUUACGGUCACAUACGUCAUGACCAUCAACAGAUUCAAGCGGAAUAAGAAUAAUCUGCACCUGUCAAACAAUGUCCUCCACAGGACAAACAAUCCAUUAGCACUGGAUAAGAUUGAGCUAAAACAUUUCCUAGGAAUUGUGUGUAUUACAUAAACAUUGUAAAAACUCAUAUAUGCUGAGUGUAUUGGAGACUUGCGACCAAAUGUGUUACAGUCAAUACAUCAUGACCAUCAACAGAUUCAAGCGGAUAAAGAAUAAUAUACACCUGUGAAACUAUGUCCUCAGCAGGACAUAAACAAUCCACUAGUACUGGAUAAAGAUGAACAAAAACAUCUCCUGGAAAUUGUGUUUUACAUAAACAUUGUAAAAAAAAUUCUAGAUACCAAAGAUCUUGGUGCCUUGUCACCUAAUGUGUUACUGUCACAGACAUAACCAUCAAUAGAUUCGAGUGGAUUAAGAAUAAGCUACACCUGUCAAACAAUGUUCAAAGGGCUGAAGUUGACCAAUGUCAGAAUUCUGUGCUUAUCAAACCCCAUGCCAUCUGAGAUUCUAAGUAUUCAUGAGCAAAUCGACCCAUUCACAUAUCGUAGGCAAAAGCAGUCCAACCUACAACCAUAGAAAGCCAUAUAGAUGGGCUACAAAGUUUUUGUUGUGUCCAACAACUUGUAUAAUCCAAGAUUUUGAAGUGCAUACAGCUAAAGCUACAAAGGGACAAGAUGACAAAGUGCUGUUGCUAAUAUUGAGCAGACAUUAUUACAGAGUGUUCCCCAAUAUGUUGGGCUCAAGAUUUACAUAGACAAUAUCAGUUAGUUCAUCAUUUAGUUGCAGGUUGUCCUGCACCAAGAAUGCACAGAAGUUUUUAUUUGUUGUAUAGCAAACAAAAAAAAUGCUAAUAAAUUUUUUUACUAAAUAAACCUUCAUGUAAUUUUUCAGUUGUUUUUUUCUCUUUCAGUGUACAUGUUUUUACUUUUGUUUUCAUCAUAAAUAAGCUUACAUGUUACUAUUGUUACUCUCAAAUGAUUUGUACAAGUUAUUUACAUUUCUAUCAACAAUUCUAUAUAAAUAUUUUUUUUGCUUAUUAUGGAUAAAAAGUUUGACCGUUGCGCAUAGUUGCAGAAUUGCAACCACCAAAAUUGUUGUGAUAUUUAUCAUCUAUUCAAAAAAAAAAUUCCCUACAUCUCAAGUUAGUCCAUUUGCUGUAGAAAUAUGAAGUCAAAAAAUUUUUACCAAGUAAACCAAUAAUUCAUGCA